rnacentral:sRNA from 1 species
AUUGGUCGCAGGUUCGAAUCCUGCACGACCCACCAAUUUAACAUCGCAGUCAGAUGUUAAGCGUGAAGGAUAACGUUGCGUCAGCAACGGCCCGUAGGGCGAGCGAAAGCGAGUCAUCCUGCACGACCCACCA